UUGCAAUGCUGUGGACUACUGGGCACUCUGGAAUAGCACUGGCUCCUUCCUAUGCAGAUGAAUCAACAGCGAUUUAGUGAGCUUUUACCUAACUCGUGCUUAAUACAUGAAAUAAGCAGUUUUUAGAAUUGCUGGGCCUAUGUACAGGUCCUCUCAGCUUCUGUCUCCGUCUUAAAUCAGCUGAUCUACACAAGAGAGAAAAUAGAAAUGUCUACGCAGAGACCAUGGCAUCUUCUAGCUUCAGAAGACAAAUGAGACUACUUGAGACGACCUUGUUUUCGCAUCUGAGACAACUACCAG